rnacentral:tRNA from 1 species
GGUUAUGGCUCAGCGGUAGAGCGCUUGACUCGCGCGUGCAAGACCCUGGGUUCAAUCCUCAGCACCA